AGCCCAAGAGGGCCCUUCACUAUCCACUGGGCCUGAAGAUUUAUGAACCUUAGCAUUACGGUCAGACACUAGUGUCUUGCCUAACUCAGAAAAGAAGGCUUCUUUCCUCCGCUUCUUUAUAACUUUUGCAUCUUUUGUUCUUGAAGGAUCCAAUCCUUUCUGUGCAUUUUGUGCCUUGUUAACAGCAUUAAAUAACUUGACCACUCCUUUUGUGGCAACACCAAUAAGAAACUUUUCAUGUGAGUCUAAGUAAUUAGCAGGCUUCACAUGGCCCUUCUCUCCCACCAAUUGUUUCUCCUUCUUGGCCUCUCUCUUGACCUUCCUUUCUGCAUCCUCCUCAGCAAGCUUCUCCGCCACAAGCUUCUCGUGUCCCGAUAACACCGGUCCCAGUGAAUCAUCAGAUACACUCUUCUUCAUAAUACUCUUAAAAGCAAUCCUAAAUGCUCUACAACCCUCGCUGAAUUUAGUAAUUCCAGGCUGAAUUUCAUCAUCUUCUUCUUCAUUUUCAGGCUCUUCAACUUCAAUGCCAAAAUCCUGCUUAUCAUCAUCCUUCAAAGACACUGUCUUUUCAUCUCCAAUACCAUGGGUACUCUCAUCCUCAUCAUCAUCAUCAGAAUUGUAAUCACGUGCCUUCUUCCGAAGUAGUUUCUUCAUUUUGGGAUCUAUUUUGACUCUCUCUUUAAUACCCUGAAACUGCUUUUGCUUCUUCUUUGCCUUGUUGCUUUUCUUAUGCCCUGAUUUUCUCUUUCUUAAGGAUUUAAUCGAUUCUGGCACACGGGUUUCCUCGGCCAUCGUUUACUUGAAUGUUUCAACAAGUAUCAGUGCUGGUGAGUGAUUAGAACAGAAGACGAAGGAUGGUGCAGCUAAUCACUUGCUCUUGCAGCUGCUUGUUUCUCGUCUACUUAAGAAUCUAAGAUGGAGACGGGAACUAGGGUUCACUGCAAAU
rnacentral:misc_RNA from 1 species